AGGCGGUGGCAAGGACAAGGUCACAACGUAUUCAUAUGACAUGCGGUGGGUGGGAACCCACAACGACAGCUCGACGUUUCACGAUUCAUAUUACCAGAACCAGAACCCAC
rnacentral:rRNA from 1 species